AGGUGCGAUGGGCGGAGGCAGCGACGGGGAGUGGAGCUCAUUUGGAUUGUAAACCAGAAGUUGUCCUCUGCAUCCCGAGCUUGAUUGCCGCCUUGGAAGCCCAUCCUGCACAUGGGGGUAGGCGCGGACGUGAGGCUCCAGGGUGCUACUACCGCGUAUGGCCGGCCCCGUAGUCCCGUGGAUAAGCAGCGGGUUUCCGAAUUUUCAAGUGAAGCAUUGAAGAUCAAUCAUUUUUCAUUUCCGCACAUCAACUAAGCUUAGGGUGUCACUGCCAUUAUUACUACAAUCGAAAUUGCACUGCGAGAAGUGAUUUGGAAUCAAAGAGAAAAUAACAUGGGGAAAAUGUUUCCUUCAUGUUCCAAUUUUUUUUCUGUUUCUUUGGA